rnacentral:rRNA from 1 species
AGUGAACGCUGGCGGUAGGCCUAACACAUGCAAGUCGAACGGCAGCACAGUAAGAGCUUGCCCUUACGGGUGGCGAGUGGCGGACGGGUGAGGAAUACAUCGGAAUCUACUUUUUCGUGGGGGACAACGUAGGGAAACUUACGCUAAUACCGCAUACGACCUACGGGUGAAAGCAGGGGAUCUUCGGACCUUGCGCGAUUGAAUGAGCCGAUGACGGAUCAGCUAGUUGGCGUGGUAAAGGCACACCAAGGCGACGAUCCGUAGCUGAUCUGAGAGGAUGAUCGGCCACACUGGAACUGAGACACGGUCCAGACUCCUACGGGAGGCAGCAGUAGGGAAUCUUGGGCAAUGGGCGAAAGCCUGACGGAGCAAUACAGCGUGAGUGAUGAAGGUCUUCGGAUCGUAAAACUCUGUUGUUAGGAAAGAAAAAAUGUGUGAGUAACUACGGCUGUCUUGACGGUACCUAAAGAGAAAGCAACGGCUAACUACGUG